rnacentral:miRNA from 1 species
AGGGUGAUCAACCACCCUGGUUUGCCUGGGACUGAGAUUUCCCAGGAUAUGGGACUUUCAGGGCUAAAACCAGGAGUGUC